AUCCGCCCAAAGGUCCCGGGACUGAAGGAGCCGCGCAGCGGGCACCGUGGCUGGCGCAUCCGAAGAGCCAAGGCCGUUGGGUCCUGACGGGCAGAGACCAGGGCGCCUGCACGCCCAGGCGGGGAAUGGGGCCCUCGUGCGCCGAGAACUGUUAGAAGACAACGCGCCAGGGCGGCCCAAGAACAGACGUCUCCAGGAGUAUUUACUGCGCUUUCAUGAGGAGAAUUUCCAGGCUGCCCCUUGAAGCAAUGACGUUGGACUUGGAGCAAAUGGAAACAUUGUGAAAUUGCUUAUUUUCUUCCAAAAUGUGUGUUUUCUUCCUUGCUUCCUGUUCGGGCAGGCCCACUCGUUAGCAACCAUGUUUCUGCGUUAUGCUCAGCAGACGUUUUGCUCCAAAUUAAACUUUUAUGUUUCCAGGAAAA